UAACCCUACGGAAAGAAAUAUUCAAUUACAAAUAUCAAGGGCAUCCAAGGCUGCAUCCCACACUGAGCCUGUCUCUGGGGGCUCGGUGCCACUAGAAACGGAACAUCUUAAAAGCAAGAAUUCUUAGCGCUGAAGAAUGGGAGUGUAAUGUCAAGAAACAAAGAAAUAGCGGUAGGAGAAGCCUGUUGUAGACUGAACGACUCUCUCUACCAAGUACAGUUCCGGACACACAUCUGCGACAUAUACAUAACUACAUAAGAUGAGCGCUGGCACACGUAGGGUCCUAGAGCCUCACAAAGCCGGCUUUCCCCACCCGUGCGGCUGCUGGAUCUGAGCUCCUGGGGAAUCCCACCGGCCUCAGAAGCACCGAUCCGGGGAAUCCCAGCAAACUCCCAUCCAGGGCAGGGUGAAUUCCAGCCACAUGAAUGACACAGGCAAGAUCGUAACAUAGGCUGGAGAGAGCUACAUCCACCGGACAGAGGAGACGGGGAGGCCCUAUGGGAGAGGAUGCUGGUGACCAGGUGUGAAAUUCGAUAGAGCCGCCCAGGGAAAGAAGGAACAGCAAAAAGAAAGAAAGGUAAUGCCGCUAAGGAGCACAAUCAACAGCUACUCACUCGCGUGUCUGUCUCUCUGCCUGAGAGUGGGGCACCGGGAUGGGGAAGGGAAAGGUGGAGGCGGAGGAGAUGAGUGCUGGUUAGGGAGGGUGCCUCUUGCUUCAGUCCUGGCGCCGGUAAAUCAGUGAACCAGACUAUGCAUGACUCCAGCUGAACUCUUCCUCCACCUCCUGAGUGUCACCUAACACUCUCCUCCCCCCUAAACACAUACACACAAAAAGGCAAACAGAACAGCAGCAGUAGCAGCAGCAGCAGCAGCAACAGCAGCAGCAGCAGCAGCAGCAGCAGAGGGCGCAGGCGCGCCCUGGAGUCUUAUCCGAACUCUGAGAAUGGUUGGAGGAAUGAAUUCCUCCUGGUCUGAAGCAUGUGGUGACCAUAAAAAGAGAAUCAGCUCUUGGUGACCAUAAGAAGAGCAACGGCUCAUCAUGAUCCUUCCCCCGUCAAAACAAACAAACAAAACAGUUGUUUUUGUUGUUGUUUUAAAUGGCACUUUCCUCAAAAUAACCUUUGGGAAUCUGUGAGUAUGAGUAUUCUUAUCCCCAUUUUACAGAUGAGGUACAAAUGACUAAUAGCAUCCUACUUCAAGAGCUAGGACUUCAAAAGUCAGCUAGUCCAAACCCUUAAUUUUCCAGAUGAAAGUGAGGCCUAAAUUCAUAGGUGUCAGAAUUUGAAGCCAGGUCCUGUGAUUUCAGAGCUAGUAUUCUUUCCAACUAAUCAAAUUGUCUUAGGACAUAACUAUAGUCCUAGGACAGAGUCCAGAUUUAAUCCCAGGUCCUUUUGACUCCAAAUUCAAUGUUUUUUCCUACGAAACCAUAAUGUUUCUUUUUAUUGUAUGUAUGCAUUUUUUUACAUUUACUUUACUUUUUAAAAUGAAAUAAAAGUUGAGUAUGAAAUUGUACUACCCAGAGAGAAAGCUAGACUUUGAAAGAUGCUAUUAAAAGCAAGAAAUAGUCUACUAGAGUUUACAUUUAGUUAAACAAAAAUAUAUAGAGUACAUAAACCACAUUUCAUUCCAAUACUUAUAUAUUAAAACAAACCAAAUUUUAAAAUUGUUCUCAAUUUCAUGCCAACAAUAAUUCUACAGCUGAACAGCUUUCCAAGUCCUUCCUUCCAUUUCAAAAUAGAUAAUUUUUGUGUAUUUUGUAGGGUCAUAAAUUUGGAGUAGAAAGGGAUCUUCACUUAACAAAUGAAGAAACUAAGGCCCAGAAAAGUUCAAUGCCUUGUUCAGGGACACAUGGCUAAGAAUAUCUGCCACAGGAUUUGCACUCUAGUGUUCUUAAUUCCAAGUUCAUGUAGUUAUCCACUACAUCUCAGUUUUCUAGUUCUGAGCUCCUCAAAAUAGUCAAUGUAUCGUUAUACUAUCAUGUCACCUGCAGAUGGGCAUGACAGACAAGUUCUUGGUAGCACUCAACAAGGAAAAAAAGGAAAAGAUUCUAAACCUGAAGCAGGACUUUGAUCUCACAGCCUCAAAAAAUUAUUUUCCAACAGCCAUUUGCAAACCCAAGUCUUUGUCUAAUCCAUGAAGUUCCCAUUGUCCAGUAAAGUGAUUUUGUUGCAUAACUAUAAACAAUUUCCAAUGGCCUUUCUUCCCAGCAAUCAAUGUUUUCCAUCUUUACUAAGCAGAUAUUUGUCCAUAAAAUGUUUAUAAAACUUCCACCAAUUGCUAUUGGUUCUAGUCAAAAAUCAACAAGCCAGCUCACCUCCAAUAAUAUCAUGGAAUAAGAAUAGAUAAGAUAGGCAAUAAAAUGAAGAUUUAACACUAAGGAGGGAAUAAUGAACAUUUUAAAAUUCUGCUUCCAAAAAAAUGCUUCAAUGCCAGAAAAUUUCACUGUAUAUAUCAUUUAGAUAUGUAUUGUAUGAUAGAUAUCAAAUCAUGUAGUUAACAAUAAAUUCCAGGGGAAAAUAACAUAAAGACAAUUUUCAGAUCCUGCCUGAGACACAUAGAAGUUUUUAUUUUCCACACUGCUUUCUUAUUCCUCUUCUUCCUUACCACCUAACAUCACCUCUUAAAGAAAAAUAACAUUAUUAAUAUUAAUAAUUAAUAUCGAAUCAACACAUGAAAUCAUAUUGCCCAGGGAUAUUUGUAUUUUAAAUGAAGGUCACGGAGAGAAGGCAAUUAUUAAGCCAAAAGGAAUAAAUCUCUAAUGUUAGGAUUUCAAAUAUUAUUGUACCUGAAUAUGGGAAAUAUGUUUGAAAAGAAUGUUCUCACUUCUUUCAUACCAUACAACUAGUAGAGGCUCUUCUGACUCUCUGUUUUCCUAUUUUAAAAAAUCAAUAUUUACAAAGUCACAGUUUAGAGAAUGAGAUAACUAGUAUCUAUAUAGAAACAUACUGGCUUCUACUGGCUUCUGAUGAUUUAUGUGGUCACAAUGAUACUACUAGAAAGAUAAUUAGAAACCACUGUUAAGGAUUAUGAAGACAUGAGCAAGAAAAUCAAGUCACUAGGGGGCACAGGUGAUAUUUUCAUCACUGUUGCUGAUUGAAGAUGAAGGAUUCAGAAAAGAAAGAACAAUUUCAGAAGUGAACAGCUACUUAAAUAGUAACUGAAAGUCAAUUUUGGAUUCCAAAAGCCUCAUUUAAAAUACUGGAAUAGUAUAAGUCUUUUAUUAUAAGAGGUAAUAUGAAAGGUAUUGCUUAGACUCUUGUAAAUCUCAUAAUCAAAA